CCUACGGGAGGCUGCAGUGAGGAAUAUUGGUCAAUGGACGCAAGUCUGAACCAGUCAUGCAGCGUGCAGGAAGACGGCUCUAUGAGUUGUAAACUGCUUUUAUAAGAGGGUAAACGCAGAUACGCGUAUCUGUCUGAAAGUAUCGUACGAAUAAGGAUCGGCUAACUCCGUGCCCGCAGCCGCGGUAAUACGGAGGAUUCAAGCGUUAUCCGGAUUUAUUGGGUUUAAAGGGUGCGUAGGCGGUUGGAUAAGGCAGAUGUGAAAUCCCGAGGCUCAACUUCGGAAUUGCCUCUGUUACUGUUAGGCUAGAGAGUAGUUGCGGUAGGCGGAAUGUAUGGUGUAGCGGUGAAAUGCUUAGAGAUCAUACAGAACACCGAUUGCGAAGGCAGCUUACCAAGCUACGUCUGACGUUGAGGCACGAAAGCGUGGGGAGCAAACAGGAUUAGAUACCCGGGUAGUC
rnacentral:rRNA from 1 species